AAAUUGAAGAGUUUGAUCAUGGCUCAGAUUGAACGCUGGCGGCAGGCCUAACACAUGCAAGUCGAACGGUAGCACAGAGAGCUUGCUCUCGGGUGACGAGUGGCGGACGGGUGAGUAAUGUCUGGGAAACUGCCUGAUGGAGGGGGAUAACUACUGGAAACGGUGGCUAAUACCGCAUAACGUCGCAAGACCAAAGAGGGGGACCUUCGGGCCUCUUGCCAUCAGAUGUGCCCAGAUGGGAUUAGCUUGUUGGUGAGGUAACGGCUCACCAAGGCGACGAUCCCUAGCUGGUCUGAGAGGAUGACCA
rnacentral:rRNA from 1 species